GGGUUGUGAGGUUAAGCGACUAAGCGUACACGGUGGAUGCCCUGGCAGUCAGAGGCGAUGAAGGACGUGCUAAUCUGCGAUAAGCGCCGGUAAGGUGAUAUGAACCGUUAUAACCGGCGAUUUCCGAAUGGGGAAACCCAGUGUGAUUCGUCACACUAUCAUUAACUGAAUCCAUAGGUUAAUGAGGCGAACCGGGGGAACUGAAACAUCUAAGUACCCCGAGGAAAAGAAAUCAACCGAGAUUCCCCCAGUAGCGGCGAGCGAACGGGGAGGAGCCCAGAGCCUGAAUCAGCAUGUGUGUUAGUGGAAGCGUCUGGAAAGGCGCGCGAUACAGGGUGACAGCCCCGUACACAAAAGCGCAUGUGCUGUGAGCUCGAUGAGUAGGGCGGGACACGUGGUAUCCUGUCUGAAUAUGGGGGGACCAUCCUCCAAGGCUAAAUACUCCUGACUGACCGAUAGUGAACCAGUACCGUGAGGGAAAGGCGAAAAGAACCCCGGCGAGGGGAGUGAAAAAGAACCUGAAACCGUGUACGUACAAGCAGUGGGAGCCCCACCAC
rnacentral:rRNA from 2 species